rnacentral:tRNA from 1 species
AGGGGUGUAGUCAAAUGGUAUGAUAGGAGUCUCCAAAACUUUUGGCGGGAGUUCGAUUCUCUCCACCCCUG